AGAUGGAGGAAUACUACAGGAGUACAGGGAUACGGAAUUUCACAGUGGAAAACGUAACUUUGAGUAAGUGGUCAGCUGUAACCAUACGCUUGGGACGUGGUAUAGAGGAGAAAAGGAUGGAAAACCCCUUGUACAACCCCAAGGCAGGAUCAUAUCGUUUGAAGGUCAAACACAAUAUCAUUCUGACGGUUCUGAAUGAACCAGGAGCUGAGCAACAGUACGAGAAGUUCGUAGGAG